GUGAGGAAUAUUGGUCAAUGGGCGCGAGCCUGAACCAGCCAAGUAGCGUGAGGGAUGACUGCCCUAUGGGUUGUAAACCUCUUUUGCAGGGGGGUAAAGUGGUUCACGUGUGGACCAUUGCAAGUACCCUGCGAAUAAGGAUCGGCUAACUCCGUGCCAGCAGCCGCGGUAAUACGGAGGAUCCGAGCGUUAUCCGGAUUUAUUGGGUUUAAAGGGAGCGUAGGCGGGGGUUUAAGUCAGCUGUGAAAUGCCGUGGCCCAACCAUGGAACUGCAGUUGAAACUGGACCUCUUGAGAGUACAUAAGGAAGGCGGAAUUCGUGGUGUAGCGGUGAAAUGCAUAGAUAUCACGAAGAACUCCGAUUGCGAAGGCAGCUUUCCGGGGUACAUCUGACGCUGAAGCUCGAAAGUGCGGGAAUCAAACAGGAUUAGAAACCCGUGUAGUCC
rnacentral:rRNA from 1 species